rnacentral:rRNA from 1 species
UACGAAGGGGGCGAGCGUUGUUCGGAAUUACUGGGCGUAAAGCGCGUGUAGGCGGCUCUUCAAGUCAGACGUGAAAGCCCCGGGCUUAACUCGGGAACUGCGUUUGAUACUGUCGAGCUAGAGUGUGGAAGGGGCGAUUGGAAUUCCGUGUGUAGCGGUGAAAUGCGUAGAUAUCGAGAGGAACACCUGCGGCGAAGGCGGGUUGCUGGGCCGACACUGACGCUGAGGCGCGAAAGCCAGGGGAGCGAACGGG